UGCAAUAUUUUCAACACUUCCUUGCAUGCCAUUUCAUGUGGCAUAUCUUUUCUGGUCACAAAUUUGUGCAGCGAAUCUAUUUGCAUGAUCGACUCCGGGCCUGUGGGACCGUUCACUUGCACUUGAUGCUGAGUCUUUUACAUGUACCCAUAAACUGCAGAUAUGCACAUCAGAUCCCUGCGAGCACUUUCAAAAUUCAAUUAUUUUCGACAACAGGCACAUAUGCAAUACUGACAUAAUCCGGAAUACCACUAAGCAGCUGGGACACAUUUUUGUUGACCAUACUCGCAGGUAAAAUAAGUACAUCAUGUGGACAGCUCCAGCUCAUUUUCCUUAAGUCAGUGUGUACAAGGGUUAUGCAAAAAUAAUUUUUUUCUCACGCACCGAUUAUUUUGCUUUAUAAGCAAGAGAACCCACCACGUUAGUGUAACGUAUCUUGUGCAUCACACUAAUAUGUGCUUUCAUUUACCAAGUGAGAUGAGUUACUUUUAUGGCUCAUUCAGUCAUAUAUCACACUGCAAGCUGCAUUCAUCAAUCUUCAAUGGGAUUUUGCAAAUGUUUAAUGAAACAUGUUUCCCUUUUAUGCAGAUAUGCAAUGGCAAGCCCUUCCGUGUGUUCCAAAGGUAAAAUUUAAGCUCUAAAUUAAAGAAGACAUUUCUAGUCAGAAACAAGCAAAAAUAGUGAAUGCAGAGCAUCAGAAGCCCAAGGUACAGAAAUUAUGAGAAGUGUCGAAUGAUUUUAAGGAAAGAGUCGUAUUUAAAAAUGCAAGACCCUUUAGUGGAGGUCAAGCAAGUCAAUAUAGGUAGAAUACUCUGCAAAAUUAUGCGAGUGAGGGGAUGUCAAACAAUGGGUCAGGAAAUGCAUUGUUUUUCUGCAAAACAAAAGCUGAUUGCCAUUACAUAAGUCACUUUAGCAUCAUGAUAAAUUCAGAAAUAAACCAAAAAACAAGACACGCAAAAAUAAACAAAACAUUUAAUGAUAUUUCAGCAGAACUUUUUGUUGGGCUAGUUGGUGCAUAUUACUGAAGUACUAUAGCGCCAAACAGACGACACAAGAAGAAGAGACACGGACAUAAGCGCUCGUCCGUGUCUCUUCUUGUGUCGUCUGUUAGGCGCUAUAGUACUUCAGCCAUUUAAUGAUGCUCUCUCCACACUGGGAUAAAUAAAAACAAACACAUCACAUCUAAUGUGGACAUAUCAGAUGCCUUGUGAAACAUAAAGGAACAAUUCAGUUUUGAGCUAUGGCACUUGCCGCAUAGAUGUGGGGGGGCCUUGCACCAAUAGUGAUAGUUACCACUGCAUUUAGAAAUUGAAAGCAUUCGUGCAGACAAGGAUGAUUCUUUAUAUUUUUGGCUACCACUUCAAAUGCCUCCACCAAGUGUUACAAUGCUGCACGCAGCCAUACUAAGGAUCUCGCAACAACACCUGCAGGUAAAAAGCAGAAGCAGUCAAAGUGCUGGUGUGUUCUGGACACUAUGUUUGAAAACUUUUAGGCAAGAAGAGUGCAAGAAGCAGACAUAACUGCAUUUAUUUCCAUAAUUCCCCAUUUAAAUGGCCUUUUCUUUUUGCUUAGACAAUGCCUACGCCUAGCCACAGCAGCUCCCUCAUACAGACUCCGCAAACCAAGAGGCUGUGGAGGCAAAUGCAGGCAGCCAGCACACCUCGAACAGCCACCUUGACUGCGGGUGUGUCACCCUAGUCGCCAAGGAAACAUUUGAGGGAAAGUGACAGGCAAUGUGAACAGCCACUCCUCCAUGUAAACAAUACUCUUUCUCUCGGAUGACUCCUACGCCUCACCACGCCAGCACACUUGUGCACAAAGAUGCCGCAGAGGCACGUGCAGGUCAGAGGCAAGAAGCAGUGGCACUGGUGUCGACAUUUACCCAAUUUCUUUUUCUUACACUGAGGCAGCCAGCACACCUCGAACAGCCACCUCGACUGCGGGUGUGUUAGUUGAUCCCUGUUGUACAUGUGCUCAUAAUAAACUUCAGUAAACUUGAACUUCAUAAUAAACGUGAAGGCAAAUGGUACAUUGAUGCAUUGUAUUUUUGAACAUUUAUUGUACACAUACAAUAUAUGUUAUACUUUGCAGUGCUACAGAGCGUAUUUUGAAGCUUCCCCCUAUAUUUUGCACCUUUAAUUACGUAUGUGUUGUGUGGCCCUCAAUGCAGUUCAUGUUGUAGCAGCUGCUUUGUCUGUGUAUCGCACAUUGGCUUAAGCUCGUGAUAUCCACAUACUUCUCUCACAUAUACAAAAUAAAGUUCUAUGUGGUCCUCAGUGUUACAACAAAAAAUGAAAGUAAACAAUCCGAUCGUGGAAUUAUGUUUAUUACAGUGAUUCCUACGACAGUUACUGACAAGUUGACAACUUGAACUGGUCAAUCGGUCCACAGCCUCCUCUAUUUUUCAAAAAUAAAGGAGGCUAUGAUCCGUCAUGGCAAGGAAUUGUAUGUAUACAUAAAAAAAGGGGGGUAUAGGAUUAGGGCGGUACGAAAAAAUGUACCAACAUCGUCCUCUAGACCCAUUCCGUUGAGGUACCGUAACAAAACGUAUUAUGCAUAAAGUUCAUACAACCAACUCUGAUAUUACUACAGACGCCAGGCGACGCGAGCUACAUUUGUCAUGAUGCAUUCGCGACUGCACCGGAUGCCCUCCACAUUAUUCUCGUUAAUCGUGCUCACUGCGCCGAGGCAAAAGAAAGACCAUGGGCGCAGGUGCCUUUAAAGUAUCUCGACCUUGCGAGGCACGGCUGCGCGUGCCAGGGGAGCUGUCCGUGCGAACACUCCCUGGCACACACCUGCCUCGGCGGCCCCAACCUACGUACCGUUCUGCUUCGAGCUUUGAUCCCCCCACUGUCCCUCGGGUGCCCUGGAGUUCCUGCGCCGCCUGCUCUACUACCAUCUCAGGUGCUCUCCUGAGACUUCCGUUUGUCUGUUACAUGUGCCCUACAGCUGGAUCAUUACUUAUAAUAAUAAAAAACCCGAUCUAUCGUCACGACGAUAGAUCGCGAAAGCGGCUUUUGCAACAUACCGCGCCCGUGCGAAGAUAAUUACGGAACGCCAACGAGGAAUCUGACCACAGCUUCGAGCUCGUAACGUCGUCGAGUGACACUCCUGCAACAGGCGUGACCGCUGAAAACCGCAUACCGCCAGAAGCUUGAACAGGAUCAUCCCUCGGUUGCAUAACUGCCGGCUCUACGGCCAACAUGGACCACACCCACACCAUCCCGCAACAUAGAAUAAAGAACCGACUUAUGAAGCCCAAACACACGGCUGCACGCACACAUCACAACACUUCAAGCGAGACGCCAUGCUGCUACGCUGCUACUGUUGCCGGAUUAAAACUGACUACUGUCACCAAGUCUAGCAAGCGUCUCAGGAGCUGGCAACCUCGGCGCGUAGCAACAUGGCGGCGCUCUUGAGGUUCCCGAUUUUAAUGCAUGGGCCCUAUGGGUAGCUUGUCCUCUAGAGUCAGUAUAGUAACUCUAUGGGCUGAACAUUACCGUUCAUUGCGCUCAGUGCCAAGUCAGUGUCAAGUUAUAGUCAAUUUCUGGCCGGCCGCAGCAAGGUUUCUACUGCUUUACAUUUCGCGGCAUUUUGUGAUUAAGGUGUGUUGUAGCGUCGGUGCUCUUUGUCAGCUCGGUCAGUUCUAGCAGGUGUUUUAUGCCCAAGUUAACGGUUGGUAGCGACGAAAUUCCAGUAGCGAAAUGCCGCGACGAUGCGGCGUCGCGGGCUGCCCGAACGGUCCACGUCGUCUGAACAAGAGCACUAAAAGCUCUGACAGUAAUGUCAACUACCAUGCGGUGCCGUCUGACGAACGUCGACGUUCCCGCUGGUUCAGUUCAGUUCCCAUGCUACAGCGGCAAAGAAAGAAGCCGAUCAGACUACAUGUGUGCUCGCUGCAUUUCCGCCCUGAGGAUUAUGAACAUAAUUCUCUCUUAAGACAGUCAAUGGAAGUGCCUUUCCAAGCGCGACUUCGUCGCAACGCUGUACCGUCGGUAUUCACUUCAUCCCACGAAGAACUUCAGACAACUUCAUUCCAGCUGAAACCGACAGAAAUCAGUGGCAAAAGUGCCACCUGGGAAGCACCGUUGCUGCAGGACGAAAGUGUCGUGGCUAACGUUGCCGUUGUGAUCACGGAAAGUGACAUUACCGGCACCUCCAUGGAAGGCAGCGCAGAGACGCUUUCCUCUGGCGCCAAAAACGCGGAGACGCAGACGGAUUUCCUGCAGAGCCCCACCGAAAGAAUUGGUUAUGAUUACCGCAGCGUCGGAAACGCGAAAGGAGUGCAGGUUAAACCGUUAUCGUGCCCGAGCGUAGGAAUUCAGGUGAACACAACAAUGAAGUUAACGAGAUCCAAGGCGCUUCAAGUGAACAUUUUGAAGGCUUUACAGCAGAUUAAGCGACGGCACAGUACUUGUCAGCCGGAAAACCAGUGAACCACCGGAGAAGUAUGCCAGUAAGGAAGCUCAGCUACACUCCCUCACCUGGUGCAUCUCCAGUACUGAGGGAGCCCGACAGGCAUGACGCAACCUAACAGCAGCCCAGAUGUGACACUUGAGAACCUGCUCUUCAGCAGACUGAACCAAAUGCAGCCUCCCCAUCUGACUGCAGGGCCUGAACUGGUGGGAAGCUACGGGCGCGAGAGGCCUAAUAGGACAUAUACGCAUUUCAACAGCGAUUGGCUACGAAACAGAAGUGCAGUGCCAAACAAAAGUAAAGCACUGGGUCACAAGCUAUGCUGAAACGCAAACAGCAGUCCCUGCGAAUGCGCCCUGUGAGAAGUUGAUGCAGUGAUGUCACGAGGACGAAGGCGAUGUUGGAUGUUUGUCGAAGGGAGAAUGCUGAGGAGACGUCUAUGCUGAGAGAGGCACGGCAAAAGAGACAGUGCGACCGCACUCCAAGCCAGACGGUGAGGUCUUCUUGUCCCUGCGCCUACGUGCUCGUGUCACUCGUAGUGAUACGUGAAUUCGAUAAUUGUUCAAGGCAGCAUCUGUUAUCUGCGUGAUUUGUUGCUUGAAUUGACAAAUUGAAGUUUAGAGAAAUAAUAAAACACACAAAUGGAAUGUCUGUGUUUUUUGUUUUACUUCGCACUGAAGCAAGAGAGAUAUAUGUACUUCCGCUUUGUCUGCUUGUACGCACGGUCGUGCAGUGAUGUGCGCAGGUACCGAAACUAUGCCAUUUUCUACCGUGUUCCAGCUUGUGAUCAUGCUUUGCGAUCCUCAGUAUUCGUGCAGCACUGAAUUAUACUGCUAGUCAUGCGCCCUUGUGCACAGCGCGCAAUAUAGUGUGCAGUGCGAGCGAGACAACAGCUCGCGCGCGACGCUGUCAGCGGAAGUCCGUAGCACCGAAAAAAAAAAAAGAAAAAGGCAAGGAGAAAAAUAAUGAAGCCUGACAUAUGCAUCAUGCGAUCCUUGAAGUCUGGUAUGGGAGAACGCAGAGAAGGAAUUUUGCUUGUGGAGGCUAGACGGGGCGAGUAGAGAGAGCAUCUUGCUUGGCAGUGGAGCCCAACUGCUGAAAUCAUGGGUUCGCGGCUCUGAAAUAUUUCUAUCUCGGGUAUUAAUAAGCUGAUACGAAAAACAUUUGCGGCAGAACACUCCCUAGAGGACACGUAACAACUUCCAGCAUACAAUCGAAAUUUGCUAUGGGCCUGGUGAGGGGCCUUUUAACGACUGUAAAAGACAUCCAGUCAUUUUUUCUAACUGGCCGAUUUUUCAGACGUGUUCACUGCCCCUACGCAGUUCGAAAAAUCAGAUGUUAACAGUACC